GGUUCAGGAUGAAUGCUGGCGGCAUGCCUAAUACAUGCAAGUCGAGCGGUAACAUGAAUAGCUUGCUAUUGAUGACGAGCGGCGGACGGCUGAGUAACGCGUGGGAACGGACCCAAACUGAGGGAUAACUAGUCGAAAGAUUAGCUAAUACCGCAUGUGAUCUUCGGAUUAAAGUCUUCGGACGGUUUGGGACUGGCCUGCGUACGAUUAGAUAGUUGGUGAGGUAAUGGCUCACCAAGUCGACGAUCGUUAGAUGGUUUGAGAGGAUGAUCAUCCAGACUGGGACUGAGACACGGCCCAGACUCCUACGGGAGGCAGCAGUAGGGAAUCUUUCACAAUGGGCGAAAGCCUGAUGGAAGCAAUGCCGCGUGCAGGACGAAGGCCUUCGGGUUGUAAACUGCUUUUAUAAGCGAGGAAUAUGACGGUAACUUAUGGAUAAGGAUCGGCUAACUACGUGCCAGCCGCUGC
rnacentral:rRNA from 1 species